AAAUAAUUAAAAAUUUAAUUAUUAAUUUCGUUAAGAAAUAAGAAAUUUUUUAUUUAAAAAAGUCAAUUCCACCGACCAUAACGUUGACUAUAAAUUUGAAGCCCAAUUUCUCUACGAGCGGACCAUUGAACCCAAUUGAGCUUCCUCGAAAACCGACCCGGUCCGUUUUCUGAUAUACAUUAAUGUAAUUAAGUUGAGAGGUUAGGGGCAUAGUUGGAAACCAAAAAAUUACUACCCGGCGCUAAAACCCUAACCCUAGUCUCUCCCUUUCCGUCCUUUAUAAACCCUUUCUCUCUUCUAAUUUUCAGUUCAGUUUGCGGUACUAAAAUUGCUGGCCGGAUUAGGGUAACUUUAUUCGUACAUGCAUAGUUCUUCCCGGGGAUGAUUUGAAUCAAAAACCAUGCUAAUGUAUAUCUGAUAAUAUUUCAUGAUUGUAAAUCUUGAUUCUCUGAGGGGCCUAGAUUUCACUUGUUCAUUUGGAAUUUGGCUUUGUUAGAAUUUCAUUUCAUUGAGUUUGAAAUUUACUGAAGAAUUUUUUCUAAUUAGUUUUCUGAAGGAUGCUUGUUUGGGUGAUUGGUUAAAAAAGGAAAUAGUUCUGUAGGUUUAAUGUUAGAUAAUUUGAUUUGUGGUUGAGUAUAAGACGUUCCCAAUGAUGUUUCAAGUGGAACCAUGCUAAUGCUGAUACUUCCAUGAUUGAAACUUGUUUACUAUUUCUUGCUUUUCUGAGGGAACUCUACUCUUUUUUUCUUUUAUGGGUUUUUUUACUGAAUGAAAAUUGGAUCCAUCCCAUGUCAGCUCACAUGGAUUAAGUCUGUUUCCAUGAUUGAAACUUGUUUCUAUUUCUUGCUUUUGUUAGGAACUCUACUCCUUUUCUUUUCUGGGUAUUUUUGCCGAAUUCAAAUUUGGUCAUCCCUGUCAACCCAUCUGGAUUAAGUCUGUGUUUCAAACAGAUACGUAACUUGUGUUGAAUUCAUUUGCAAGUCUAAAAUUGCCGAAUGUAAAAAAGGUGGAAGUCGUUUUCAAAUCUGAAUGGUUCGAGUUAGUAGAGACUCAAAUUAAACAUUUAGGAUAUGCAAUGCUUACAUUUCAAGAACACUUUCUAGUAAAUUUCUGGUGGUAGUUGGAAGAUUUCAAUUAAUUUUAUUUAUCAUAUUUUACCUCGAAAGGUAAUUGAAUCAGCGAAUUGUUUCCCAGGUUCCUGACUUCUACUGAGUAUUAGCCUUCAAUUUGAAGAGCAGAAUGGAACGUGUUUGAUUCAUGACAUGAUUAUAUUCGAUAACAAGUGAUUAGGAAUUUGUUUGGAUUUUCACGAGAAACCGCAGUAUAAUUGAGUCGAAAACAGAGUAUAAGUUAGUCAUUUGUACUUCGAGACACAACAAUUAAGAAGUAUCUAACAUAUCUUACUACUCUGCACCUAAAAAUAACGUUGGUAGAGUUUUGUGAUGGGA